ensembl:snRNA
GUGUUGUAUGAAAGGAGAUAGGCUAGCAUUCCCCUUGACAAGGAUGGAAGAGGUUCUCGGGCAUGACAACACACAUCCGAUUAAGGCAUGCCACAAACUUCAUGGCAUCUAACCAUCAUUUUUC